rnacentral:rRNA from 1 species
GACGAACGCUGGCGGCGUGCUUAACACAUGCAAGUCGAACGAAGAGCGAUGGAAUCUUGCUUCUAUCAAUCUUAGUGGCGAACGGGUGAGUAACGCGUAAUCAACCUGCCCUUCAGAGGGGGACAACAGUUGGAAACGACUGCUAAUACCGCAUACGAUCUAAUCUCGGCAUCGAGGAUAGAUGAAAGGUGGCCUCUACAUGUAAGCUAUCACUGAAGGAGGGGAUUGCGUCUGAUUAGCUAGUUGGAGGGGUAACGGCCCACCAAGGCGAUGAUCAGUAGCCGGUCUGAGAGGAUGAACGGCCACAUUGGGACUGAGACACGGCCCAGACUCCUACGGGAGGCAGCAGUGGGGAAUCUUCCGCAAUGGACGAAAGGCUGACGGAGCAACGCCGCGUGAGUGAUGACGGCCUUCGGGUUGUAAAGCUCGGUUAAUCGGGACGAAAGGCCUUCUUGCGAAUAGUGAGAAGGAUUGACGGUACCGGAAUAGAAAGCCACGGCUAACUACGUG